rnacentral:rRNA from 1 species
CGAAAGCCUGACGGAGCAACGCCGCGUGUGGGAAGAAGGCCUUUGGGCUGUCAACCACUUUUCUCAGGGAAGAAGUUCUGGCGGUACCUGAGGAAUCAGCCUCGGCUAACUCCGUGCCAGCAGCCGCGGUAAUACGGAGGAGGCAAGCGUUAUCCGGAAUUAUUGGGCGUAAAGCGUCCGCAGGGGGCGCAUCAAGUCUGCUGUUAAAGGCUGGAGCUCAACUCCGGUAGAGCAGUGGAAACUGGUGCGCUAGAGGUCGGUAGGGGCAAAGGGAAUUCCCAGUGUAGCGGUGAAAUGCGUAGAUAUUGGGAAGAACACCGGUGGCGAAAGCGCUUUGCUGGACCGAACCUGACGCUGAGGGACGAAAGCUAAGGUAGCG